GACGAACGCUGGCGGCGUGCCUAAUACAUGCAAGUAGAACGCACAGUUUAUACCGUAGCUUGCUACACCAUAAACUGUGAGUUGCGAACGGGGUAGUAACGCGUAGGUAACCUGCCUGGUAGCUGCGGAUAACUAUUGGUAACGAUAGCUAAUACCGCAUAAUAUUGAUUAUUGCAUGAUAAUUGAUUGAAAGAUGCUAUUGCAUCACUACCAGAUGGACCUGCGUUGUAUUAGCUAGUAGGUGAGGUAACGGCUCACCUAGGCGACGAUACAUAGCCGACCUGAGAUGGUGAGCGGCCACACUGGGAGUGAGACCCGGCCCAGACUCCUACGGAAAGCAGCAGUAGGGAAUCGUGGGCAAUGGGCGGAAGUCUGACCGAGCAACGCCGAGUGAGGGAAGAAGGAUGUCGGGUCGUAAAGCUCGGUUGUAAGGGAAGAACGGGUGUGAGAGUGGAAAGUACAGACUGUGACGGUAACGGACAAGAAAGGGACGGCUAACUACGUG
rnacentral:rRNA from 1 species